UGGGGAAUUUUGCGCAAUGGGGGAAACCCUGACGCAGCAACGCCGCGUGGAGGAUGAAGGCCUUCGGGUUGUAAAGCACUUUUGUCCGGAAAGAAAUCCCUUGCCCUAAUACGGCGGGGGGAUGACGGUACCGGAAGAAUAAGCACCGGCUAACUACGUGCCAGCAGCCGCGGUAAUACGUAGGGUGCGAGCGUUAAUCGGAAUUACUGGGCGUAAAGCGUGCGCAGGCGGUUUUGUAAGACAGGCGUGAAAUCCCCGAGCUCAACUUGGGAAUGGCGCUUGUGACUGCAAGGCUAGAGUAUGUCAGAGGGGGGUAGAAUUCCACGUGUAGCAGUGAAAUGCGUAGAGAUGUGGAGGAAUACCGAUGGCGAAGGCAGCCCCCUGGGACGUCACUGACGCUCAUGCACGAAAGCGUGGGGAGCAAACAGGAUUAGAUACCCUGGUAGUCCACGCCCUAAACGAUGUCAACUAGUUGUUGGGGAUUCAUUUCUUCAGUAACGUAGCUAACGCGUGAAGUUGACCGCCUGGGGAGUACGGUCGCAAGAUUA
rnacentral:rRNA from 1 species